rnacentral:misc_RNA from 1 species
GCAAACUUGGUCAUUUAGAGGAAGUAAAAGUCGUAACAAGGUUUCCGUAGGUGAACCUGCGGAAGGAUCAUUAUUAUUUGGAUCGGGUUUAGACAUUGUUUUCGUUCUCAAUGGUAAACCCUCUUCCAAAUAUAUAGUUUGUUACUCUUUUUUUUUUAAAAAAAAAGGAGCAAGAUGAUAUAUAUUUAAAACCCAACUCAUAAAAUAUGUAUAUUUUUGAAUGAUAAAAUUAAAGAUCACUUUCAACAACGGAUCUCUUGGCUCUCGCAUCGAUGAAGAACGCAGC